rnacentral:rRNA from 1 species
UCCGUAGGUGGAUAAUUAAGUCAGAGGUGAAAUCCUGCAGCUCAACUGUAGAAUUGCCUUUGAUACUGGUUAUCUUGAGUCAUUAUGAAGUGGUUAGAAUGUGUAGUGUAGCGGUGAAAUGCAUAGAUAUUACACAGAAUACCGAUUGCGAAGGCCGAUCACUAAUAAUGUACUGACACUGCGGGACGAAAGCGUGGGGAGCGAACAGGAUUAGAUACCCUGGUAGUCC